rnacentral:rRNA from 1 species
UACGAAGGACCCGAGCGUUAUCCGGAUUUAUUGGGUUUAAAGGGUGCGUAGGCGGAUUUACAAGUCAGUGGUGAAAUCUCCCGGCUUAACCGGGAAACUGCCAUUGAAACUGUUUAUCUUGAGUACAUUUGAGGCGGGCGGAAUGUGUCAUGUAGAGGUGAAAUUCUUAGAUAUGACACAGAACACCAAUUGCGAAGGCAGCUCGCUAAACUGUAACUGACGCUGAGGCACGAAAGCGUGGGGAUCAAACAGG